UCAUUAAGUUGGGCACUCUAGAGAGACUGCCAGGGAUAACCUGGAGGAAGGUGGGGAUGACGUCAAAUCAUCAUGCCCCUUAUGCUUAGGGCUACACACGUGCUACAAUGGGUAGUACAGAGGGUUGCCAAGCCGUAAGGUGGAGCUAAUCCCUUAAAGCUACUCUCAGUUCGGAUUGUAGGCUGAAACUCGCCUACAUGAAGCUGGAGUUACUAGUAAUCGCA
rnacentral:rRNA from 1 species